GCCGGGUACGGUGGCGCAUGCCUGGAAUCCCAGCAGCAUGGGAAGCUGAGGCAGGAGGAUUGUGAGUUCCAAGCCAGCCCCAGCUAUUUAGCAAGGCUUUAAGCAACUCAGAGAGACCCUGUCUCUA
rnacentral:sRNA from 1 species